UUCUGUUUUUGAUGAAAUCUUGAAACAUAACAAAGCAUAACAAAAAGUGGACUUGAUUCUUUUGAUGGUACACUCAGAGUUUAAAAAUUUCAGAGUUGCUCCUGUGUCUGCACACUCAGAAUCUGGAGAUGUUAAUUUUUUGUCAUUUGGCUUCUAGAUGUCCUUGGCCUCUGCACCCCUGUGGAAUCCAGUUCAUCUCCAAUCCGUCAGAAAGCAUCAGAGGUGGUUUUGAUUCCUUAUGUCCUGAGCCUGUGCACAAAAUGUACCUUGUGUGAAGGAAAAUGAGAUCCCGAGUGAAGUCUACAAUGUCAUUGACUCUGAAGAAGGACUCAGAGACCCAUUGGUGUUUAAUGACCCUUACUGGCCUAUGCAAUGGGAACUGGUAUGAUCUUCAGAAAUAGAUGGUUCUUUGGCAAUGUUAAGAAAUAUUAUUUUCGUCAUGUUUUAAUGCAGUAGACAGACACUUUUAUGCACUGCCUGCGUUUAUCUACUGGUUUUGCAGAGAGAGACUUAGUAAACUUUUGAUGAAAUAUUACUGCCAGCUUAUUAAUGAGCACUAAUCCUUUUAAUUUGAUUACAUCCUUAGGGUUUGAUUUAGUCUAUAAAUGAUACCAGUAAAAAACCGAAGACAUUUAAAUUUGGUGUGUGUAAACAGAUUCAUUACAUAGAAAUAUUGUUGCCAUUCAGGCUUGAAGUUCUUGUUUGUGCAUGACCAGAGUGUAGUCUACAUUACAUCAAUAAUGAGAGAACUGCUCUUUGUCUAUGGAUAAUUGGAUGUUAGAACAUUGUACAACAAACUUUUUUUCAUAAUGCUUAUAGUGUUGGGCUUUUUAGGACCACGUUGCCCUGCCGUUUAUACAAGAUUUUAAUAAUGGAAAGAUCUGAGGAAAGCACACAUAUUUUUUUGAGUGUAAAUAAGCAAAAAGAAAAAAGUUGGAGUAGAUAGCUUUGAAGAUUUUGAAAAGAAAUAUUUGGAAUGUGAGGAUGACUUGGUGAUAAUAUCAGAGAGAAAUUGGAGACCUUGUUAUAUCCACACUUCACUCCUCAUGGGUCUGUAAAUUACAUUGUGUUGUAGAGGGUCAAUGUUGUAAAAUGAGGAAAAGUUUAAGAGCGUUGCAUCAUUUUCAUGGACAUAAUGAGGGGAAAAGUGGGAAACUGUUGAGGUAGGUCAUUUUUAUAUUGAUCAAUGGCAGUGACCAAGACUACUAUCUGAAAAGAACAGAAAACUCAUGUUGGAAAAUGUCCAGUUCACUUUUUUUGUAGCUCCAUUUCAUCUUUAAAGUGAAACAUAAUUUAGAAAACUCUAAGAUGUGUAUAUGACUACAUUUGAAAUUUUAAACGAGGAAAGAAUCUCAAGCAGAAAAAAACUGAGGAUUGCUUCAAUUACCUGGAGGUGAGAUAAUCAGUAACAAGUGUGUGGACUAGAGCUCAUUAGGAUCAUGAAAGUCAAAGAGAAAAAGAAUGAAAUUAAGAAAAAGGAAUGCAGGAAGGUAGCUGGGUAAAGAAGGAGGGCAUGAAAUAAGGGGAAAACCAUUUUAGCUUUCUUUUGUUUGUUGUUCUUUUGACCGGAAGAAGCAGCAAAAAUUAAGAUGAAUACUUGAAGAUUACAUAUAUGACACUUUGUAAUUAGUCACCUAGCAAGAAAUACAUUUUUGUAUCAGUUAUUAAAGGCCAAGCUCCUGUAUAUUGAGGUCAAGAAUGUCAGAAGACACAACAGGGAAAGGAGAUGGAAGGCAAGUGAUAUAGGAAAGACAAGAAUUGAAUAGCAGUCAAUAAAGUGACAGGGAUUAGAAAUGGAGACUAUUAA
rnacentral:lncRNA from 1 species